rnacentral:rRNA from 1 species
UACGGGGGGUGCGAGCGUUGUCCGGAAUCACUGGGCGUAAAGGGCGCGUAGGUGGCUUCUUAAGCGUGCGGUGAAAGCCUGGGGCUCAACCCCGGGUCGGCCGUGCGAACUGGGGGGCUGGAGCACUGUAGAGGCAGGCGGAAUUCCGGGUGUAGCGGUGGAAUGCGUAGAGAUCCGGAAGAACACCGGUGGCGAAGGCGGCCUGCUGGGCAGUUGCUGACACUGAGGCGCGACAGCGUGGGGAGCAAACAGG